rnacentral:tRNA from 1 species
GCGGAAGUGGCGGAACUGGCAGACGCACCAGCUUGAGGGGCUGGCGAGCCGAAGGCUCAUGGGGGUUCAAAUCCCCCCUUCCGCACCA